UACGUAGGCAGCAAGCGUUGUUCGGAGUUACUGGGCGUAAAGGGUGUGUAGGCGGUUGGAUAAGUGUGGUGUGAAAUCUCCCGGCUUAACUGGGAGGGUGCGCUACAAACUGUCUGACUAGAGUGUGGGAUGGGUAAGUGGAAUUCCUGGUGUAGCAGUGAAAUGCGUAGAUAUCGUGAGGAACACCAGAGGCGAAGGCGGCUACCUGGACAAUUGCUGACGCUCAGGCACGAAAGCGUGGGGAGCAAAAGGG
rnacentral:rRNA from 1 species